rnacentral:rRNA from 1 species
GAAUUUUGGACAAUGGGCGAAAGCCUGAUCCACCAACGCCGCGUGCAGGAUGAAGGCCUUCGGGUUGUAAACUGCUCUUGUACGGAACGAAAAGCUUUGGGUUAAUACCCUGGCGUCAUGACGGUACCGUAAGACUAAGCACCGGCUACCUACGUUCCAGCAGCCGCGGUAAUACGUAGGGGGCAAGCGUUGAUCGGAAUUACUGGGCGUGAAGCGUGGGGAGGCGGUUUUGUAAGGCAGGGGGGAAAUCCCCGGGCUCAACCGGGGAACGGCCUUUGUGACUGCAAGGCUAGAGGACGGCAGAGGGGGGUGGAAUUCCGCGUGUAGCAGUGAAAUGCGUAGAUAUGCGGAGGAACACCGAUGGCGAAGGCAACCCCCUGGGCCUGUACUGACGCUCAUGCACGAAAGCGUGGGGAGCAAACA